GCAGUCCUUCAUGAAACCACAGCAGAUGUUUCUCAGUCCUUUCAUUUUCUUUUUUCAGAGGAAUUGUAAUCGGCUGCGCUUUAAUUAGGAUCUCCCCAAGGAUACUUCGGCUUUCUUCCACACCCUGGAGUUUGCAGAUUCCCUCUUAGUGCACCAGGCUGAUUAGAUUUCUUAAUUCCCUAAAAUAUGCUGUCUUGAAGCCUAAUACCCUUGUAGGGAUGAGGUCUGUUUCUCUGCCUCUCCUCUCAUUACAGUGCUAAAUCCAGGCAGUGGUCUCCCUUACGGCACUUGCUUCUUCCCUGGCUCCGGACCCCUUUUUUGGAUGGCCUGCAAACCUUCUGACAAAGAAGCAGCCUUGAAAAGACAAAAUGGGUCCAGCAGGGAAUUAGACAGAAAAUAUUUACCGACUCGGUGAACCAAGAGCUGGGUGUUCCGGGCUGUUGAAGAAAAUGGAGUAAUGGGACAGAAGCUGCUUUCAACUUCCUGCUGGUAAAGAACAAGCCUGUGUCAACGAGAGACCGAAUAAGAAACCCUCAAGGAGGAGACGUGGGAGUUGCCUUCAUUCAUUGGAUAGAGUGCCACAGGACAGGAUGCUCUGAGAGGCCAGCACCACACCCUCUUGACCAUGCUGUAGCCAUAAAUGUUCCAGAGGCAUCUGAGAAAACCACUGCAGAAUACACAGAGCACAGCUGCAUUUUGUCUGCUCCACCUACAACAGGGUUUGCUCUACCCUGCCAUAUCACAGGCUCCUGAAAAGACCAACUCACAGCACCACAGGAUGUGAUUAAGCCUUGGAGAAGAUUAAUUACCCACUUUCUUAGGAGUCGGUCUCUCCUCCCCACUCACUCAAGUUCCUUUACCCCCCACUAAGCCUCUGAAAGAAUCUAACAUCAUAAACAAGGAUCUCAUUAGCAACUUGAAUUCGGGCUGCAGAUCUUUUGUGAAGAUUUGGUUACAGAUGCUGCUUUAACUUCUGAGGAUUAUUCUUCAGCAUCCAGAGAGACUCCAGUUGCUCUCCUGGGAAAUGUUCUGUCACUUGAAUAACUCAUCUGUUCACCCAUUGGCAUAACUGCUGCCAGUUCCAAGCACCUGAUGAGGAGUGGACCCAGAUUAGGCCUCUGGCAGGGCUACAAAGAACUCAUUUCAGUGUUGGACUUCCCAUUCCAUUUGCAUCUUCAGGGGAAGUUAAUGUCCCACUCAAGUUUCCCUCAGUUAGGGUGACAGGGAGAUGCAGUUCUUCAAAUGCUGUCCUCAAGUAGAGAGGGAGACCACAGAGCUCCGACUGGCUUGCCAGCCCAUGGAGCCAUUUUUUCUUUGGUGGUGGAUGCUCUCGGUGUGGCCUCUAGAGCUCCUUUCAUGUUCCUUUUCUCUCUGCAUUCCCACCGCUCUCCCCUCGGGUGCGUCCACAUCACCUCUCGCCUGGACCUCAGUCUGUCUCCUCUCUGCUAACCAAGGUGUCUUCACUUCUCUGCAGCUUUCACACGGCAGCCAGAUUAAUGUUCCUCAGUGCAGCUUUGAUCACACUACUGUGCCCAGACAAAACCUUUCAUGGCCCCCAGCUACCCAGUGAUCAAAGUCCAGGGUCAUCACUCCAGCAUUAAAGAGCCUCUGUAUUGUGGAUCCCAAAUCAUCACAUGCCCCACCUCCAUCACCCAUCUGUUCCACUCCCACCUACCUCAACCUCAGUUCUAGUCCUUCAAGCUGCAGGCAGCAGCUCAUUGAGAAGGUCAUGAAAUCAAUGAAGUAUGUGAUGAAAGCAUUUUAAAAUGAAAUUUAUAGCAAAAGAACAAAUAUGUAUAUGGCUUUCUAUAUAGCAGGCUCCAUUCCAAAUACUUUGCAUAGACUCACAUACUUCUCACACUGUCCCUAGGGAAAUAAGCACUCUUGCUAUCCCUGUUUUACAGAUAAGGACACAGACCCAGGGAGGUUAAAUAAGUUGCCCAAGGUGAUUAAUUCUGGCUUGAACCCAGACAGCCUUGUAUCAGAAGCCACACUCUGCUAUACUCCCCAUGAUGUACUAUAUGGAAUAAAACUAUAUUCUAGAUUUUGUAAAACCAUAUGGAACAGAAUAGAAAAUUUAGGGCAUUCUGUUUAUACAGUGGUAAAUGUUUCAUGAAGGUCUGUUGGAGAUAAAUAUAAAUGUAUACAUACAAGACUACAGUAGAAAAUGUGUAUUGUGCUGAGUACACAAGGUCAAGUGUUUGUCUUACUGUGGCUUGUGGUCAAAAACAUGUGAAACCUGUUGUUCUGGCUAAAACCAAGGAACUGCCAAUGAUCUCUCAUGCUUCUUUGCCUCUACAUCUUCACCCACACUGAUCCCAGCACUGGAAAUAUCUUUCCCCGUCGUUUCUCACCUGUAUCUCUGGUCCAAACAUGUCUUGUCCAUGGAGUCUUUCUUAAUACUUCUCUUUAUUCUGUCUUCUAAAUUAUAAGCUUCUUGAGGGCUUGGGUACAUACAUUUCACAAUCAGUUCUUGCUUCCUGACAAAGAAGGAAGCAUCUUCCAGGAGGCUUUUACUCCCAACCUACU